CGGCCGCCGCGGGGCGUGCCGGGACUUGUAGUCGCGCGGCCCGGGCGCCGGCGGCCGCUGAUGUCAGGGGCUGGGCGGCCGCCCUAGGGGCCCGCCGGAUGCGCUGAGGGAAAAUGCUGGAGCGCGGGCCCCCACGGGCCCACGGGGAGGCGAAGGGCAGAAGCGGGGGCCUUUCGAGCCAGGCUGAGCCUGAGUGCAAGCUCUGUCCCUCAAGCUCAGGACUAGGCGCUUCUGGGCGCAAAGCGAGUCGCCCACAGAACUCGCGCGCUGGAGGAGACCUGAGUCUGGGAGGGGAGAGAUUUGGAGAAACCGCAUCUCAGCUCCACGAAGGCAGUGGUUUUUGUCUGUUCUCUGCUGUAUUCCCAGUGCCUGAAAUGUGGUUGGCAGGAAACUUUCGUUUUGGCCACACGUGAACGUGUGGGCAUGCAGGCGUGUGUGUGCGUCUCUGUGUGUGCACGCACUGGAUCUUUAUGCAAAGAUUGUUACAGUGGCCUCCUAAUGUCCAUUCCAUCCUCCUCGUGUUGCCAAGGUAGCUGUUCUAUGCUGUGGCCCUACCACCUGUAACUCUUGCAGCGACCAUGGCUCUCUUAAGAAAACCAAGUUUGGAUCCUCCAUAGAUGGUCUUAAUGUGAAGGGAAGGAGGCUUCCUGGCUCCUAGACCCACCCUCUCCAAUAUGGUAGUCAUUGGCCAAACAUGGCUAUUGAGCAUUUGAAAUGGAGCUAAUGCCAUGAGAAGCAGAAACUUUAAUUUUACUUCAUUUUAAUUAAUUUAAAAUUAAAAACUGAUACUCAAUUCAGUUAUUGGAAAACAUUCAAGUAUGUUUGGAAAGAACUGCCAACUGUCCUGGUUUUCCUGGGACUGAGCUUUCAGGAUGUGGAACUGGGAGUUUUAAAACCAGGACUUGGGUAAACAGGGAUGAGUUGGUGACACUACUUUGAAACAACUUGGUUAUGGAAAUCUAUGAAACCCAAAUACAGAUCAAGUGUUGUGGAUGAGAAUUAAGCAUCUGAAUGGAGAUGUGCCGUAAAUGUCAAAUAUAUUCUGGCUUUCAAAGACUUGGUAUGAAAAAAAAAUGUAAAAUAUCUCAUUAAAAAUUUCGUAUAUUGAUUACAUGUUAAAACGAUAGUAUUUUGGAUAUUGGGUUAAAUAGAAUAUAUUAUUAAAAUUAA